GUUGUAUGGUUAAGUGACUAAGCGUACACGGUGGAUGCCUGGGCAGUCAGAGGCGAUGAAGGACGUACUAACUUGCGAUAAGCGCAGAUAAGGCAGUAAGAGCCGUUUGAGUCUGCGAUUUCCGAAUGGGGAAACCCAACUGCAUAAGCAGUUACUGUUAACUGAAUCCAUAGGUUAACAGAGCAAACCGGGGGAACUGAAACAUCUAAGUACCCCGAGGAGAAGAAAUCAACCGAGAUUCCGGUAGUAGCGGCGAGCGAACCUGGAUUAGCCCUUAAGCACUCGGUGAAGUAGGUGAACAAGCUGGAAAGCUUGGCGAUACAGGGUGAUAGCCCCGUAACCGACGCUUCAUCGAGCGUGAAAUCGAGUAGGGCGGGACACGUGAUAUCCUGUCUGAAUAUGGGGGGACCAUCCUCCAAGGCUAAAUACUCCUGACUGACCGAUAGUGAACCAGUACCGUGAGGGAAAGGCGAAAAGAACCCCUGUGAGGGGAGUGAAAUAGAACCUGAAACCGUGUACGUACAAGCAGUAGGAGCACCUUCGUGGUGUGACUGCGUACCUUUUGUAUAAUGGGUCAGCGACUUAUAUUCAGUGGCAAGGUUAACCGUAUAGGGGAGCCGUAGCGAAAGCGAGUCUUAACUGGGCGCUCAGUCUCUGGAUAUAGACCCGAAACCGGGUGAUCUAGCCAUGGGCAGGUUGAAGGUUGAGUAACAUCAACUGGAGGACCGAACCGACUAAUGUUGAAAAAUUAGCGGAUGACUUGUGGCUAGGGGUGAAAGGCCAAUCAAACUCGGAGAUAGCUGGUUCUCCCCGAAAGCUAUUUAGGUAGCGCCUCGGACGAAUACUACUGGGGGUAGAGCACUGUUAAGGCUAGGGGGUCAUCCCGACUUACCAACCCUUUGCAAACUCCGAAUACCAGUAAGUACUAUCCGGGAGACACACGGCGGGUGCUAACGUCCGUCGUGGAGAGGGAAACAACCCAGACCGCCAGCUAAGGUCCCAAAGUAUUGCUAAGUGGGAAACGAUGUGGGAAGGCUCAGACAGCUAGGAUGUUGGCUUAGAAGCAGCCAUCAUUUAAAGAAAGCGUAAUAGCUCACUAGUCGAGUCGGCCUGCGCGGAAGAUGUAACGGGGCUAAGCAAUACACCGAAGCUGCGGCAAU
rnacentral:rRNA from 2 species